UCAGCUAUUUUUUAUUUGAUACUAAUUACCCUGUUUUUCCUUGGAUAACUGUGGUAAUUCUAGAGCUAAUACAUGCCCAAUAUAGUCCGUGACUUGAAGAGGUCAGGACGCUCUUGUUAGUAUCAAAACCGGUGACAGACUUUGGUCUGUAAACCUAACCUAUGUUGACUCUGAAUAAUUUAUAGCAGAGCACACAGUCUUUGUACUGGUGCUGCUUCUUUCAAGUGUCUGCCUUAUCAGCUUUCGAUUGUAAGUUAUGUGCUUACAAUGGCGAUAACGGGUGACGGGGAAUCAGGGUUCGAUUCCGGAGAGGGAGCCUGAGAAACGGCUACCACAUCCAAGGAAGGCAGCAGGCACGCAAAUUACCCACUCCCGGCACGGGGAGGUAGUGACGAAAAAUAACGAUGCGAGACUCAUCCGAGGCCUCGCAAUCGGAAUGAGUACACUUUAAAUCCUUUAACCAGGAUCCAUUGGAGGGCAAGUCUGGUGCCAGCAGCCGCGGUAAUUCCAGCUCCAAUAGCAUAUAUUAAAGUUGUUGCGGUUAAAAAGCUCGUAGUUGGACUACUGUUCUGGACUGAUGGUACUUCGCCUUAUGGUGUUUACUAUCACGCUCCAAAACUGCUAAUGCAACCUAAAAGUUGUUGGGCCCCACCAGCUCGCAUGGGAUGCUCUUGACCGAGUGUCCUAAGUGGCUGGUAUGUUUACUUUGAAAAAAUUAGAGUGCUCAGAGCAGGCUAUUUGUAUUGCCUGAAUGUCUAUGCAUAGAAUAAUGAAAUAGGACCUCGAUUCCAUUUUGUUUUCCCCGGUUCUUCGGAAUCCGAGGUAAUGAUUAACGGGGAUAAACGGGGGCAUUUGUACUGUGACGCUAGAGGUGAAAUUCUUGGACCGUCACAAGACAAACAACUG
rnacentral:rRNA from 1 species